AUUGAACGCUGGCGGCAUGCUUUACACAUGCAAGUCGAACGGUAACAGGCCGCAAGGUGCUGACGAGUGGCGAACGGGUGAGUAAUGUAUCGGAACGUGCCCAGUCGUGGGGGAUAACGCAGCGAAAGCUGCGCUAAUACCGCAUACGAUCUAUGGAUGAAAGCGGGGGAUCGCAAGACCUCGCGCGAUUGGAGCGGCCGAUAUCAGAUUAGGUAGUUGGUGAGGUAAAGGCUCACCAAGCCGACGAUCUGUAGCUGGUCUGAGAGGACGACCAGCCACACUGGGACUGAGACACGGCCCAGACUCCUACGGGAGGCAGCAGUGGGGAAUUUUGGACAAUGGGCGCAAGCCUGAUCCAGCAAUGCCGCGUGCAGGAUGAAGGCCUCGGUU
rnacentral:rRNA from 1 species